rnacentral:miRNA from 1 species
UCUCCAUCCUCCUUCUC